CCCUUAGAUGUUCUGGGCUGCACGCGUGCUACAAUGGCGUUUCCAGCAAGUCUGCGAACCCGAGAGGGCCAGCGGAUCUUCGAAUUGGCGUCGUGAUCGGGACAGUCGAUUGCAAUUAUUUGACUCAAACGAGGAAUUCCUUGUAAUCGCGAUUCAUCAUAUCGCGCUGAAUACGUCCCUGCCCUUUGUACACACCGCCCGUCGCUCCUACCGAUUGAAUGAUCCGAUGAAUAUCAUGGAUUGAGGAUGCAAGUAGGUUCGCCUAUCUUCAUCUUCGAGAAGUGAAGUAAAUCUUAUCAUUUAGAGGAAGGAGAAGUCGUAACA
rnacentral:rRNA from 1 species